UACGUAGGGGGCAAGCGUUGUCCGGAAUCAUUGGGCGUAAAGCGCGUGUAGGCGGCUCGAUAAGUCCGCUCUGAAAGUCCGGGGCUCAACCCCGGGAGGCGGGUGGAUACUGUCGGGCUAGAGUCCGGAAGAGGCGGGUGGAAUUCCUGGUGUAGCGGUGAAAUGCGCAGAUAUCAGGAGGAACACCAAUGGCGAAGGCAGCCCGCUGGGACGGUACUGACGCUAAGGUGCGAAAGCGUGGGGAGCAAACAGG
rnacentral:rRNA from 1 species